UGAAGCUUCUUCCGGAGCGCAGGGUCCAAAGAUGACCACAGUGGUGACCUGAAGCCAGAAGAAAAACAAAAGCCAAAACCAAGAGACAUGGAAAUGAACUGCUAAGAGUUUUCAUAGGCAAAGCUGGUGCAAUGAAGACACUAUGAGGCACUAUGUACACUGGCAGGAUUUAUGUGCCUCAGCAAUCAAAUUUGCAGACUACACCUGCACUUAUCCUCUAAUGAGACAUUGCAAAAGAAAUACGCUAAAUGCAUGAUGUACAAGCUCACCUUUGGCCUCUUCCAUAUCACCUGCUGAAUAUUCACAGAGCCGGGUCCUAGCUCACGGUAUCCAAGUGACUCUGCACAGGGUUUGAACUCGGGGUCG